rnacentral:lncRNA from 1 species
UGAUAAAAUCACAGCAAGUUUAAAUAGCUAAAAACAGUAGUAUCAUGCUUUUACUUUUUCAGUAGAAAAUGUACCCAACUCUUAGCUCUCAUGCACAAGACCUAAAGAGAACAUGUUAUAUAAACACAUAGAUGGCGUCAGCUCUGGAGAUGAAUGAGUUCAUGUUCAGAAAUAGAGGGGUAUUUUGGUAAUUUCCUUAUUAUGAUUUGUCCCUACCUAAGAGAUGUUAUGAUGUGAGUGACAGGCUGAGAAAGUGUGAGGAGUUCUAGCCACAACUCUUUCCCCUCUGUCCUCUAAGGGUGAGGUUUUGUCCCCUUAUCAUAUCUCUUGUUAGAUUUACCUUGUAUAAGUUUAUAUAUCCAUCUAUGAAUAUAGAUGGCAUUUAACCUCUGCGUCUAUCAUCCAUCCUCGUUCCAAAAUAUCUUGUCUUACUUUGACAUAAUUUCCAACAAUUCAUAUGAACUUUGAUAGUAGGAGGUUUUGACAUAAUACAUCAUCCAUCAGACAGUGAUAAUGGUGUACAAAAAGAAAUGUCAUCCAGACCCUGACUUUCUACAAACUUUCAUUAACUGGAAGAUUAUUUAACUGGAAACACCCAUUCUUCAUGUGCCAUUCGAUGAUUAUUUCCUCAUAUCAUCGUAUCACACCAUGAAACUCUUCUGAGAUUUUGUGAAAUGAACACAAUGCACAAGCAUCAAUCUCUUAGGUUUAUUUUACAACUCUGAUUCUUCACCAACAACGUCAGUGAACCAUCAUUUAUAUGCUGGUUCACCCAUUACAUCCCCAACCCGCUGGCACCUAUAAUCUGCCUACUAGAAACUACCGAUAAGACAGUUACAUACAUUACAAUACAGAGACACCUCUCCAAACAUUAGAUGUAUCCUUUGCACUGUUUCGGUACCACAGAAAUUUACAGCAUCAAUGCAAAUAACUUUGUGUGACCAAUUUGAGGUGAUUUCAGUCCAAGAACUUUUAUGAAAGCAGACAACGAAGACAUCAGUCAACUGAUGAAAAUUAGCGUGUAACAAGGACAGCAAUUAGGAUCUAGAGGUCUAGACAACCAUGAAAUUAAAAAUAAAUUCAUUUAAAAGAAUGCCGAAAAAAUACCACUAGGCGACGUGGAGUACCACAUGCCAAAAUUUCGCCAUGGUUUAUUCUCCGCUUUGCUAAUGCUUCUAUAAUCAGACCUUUAAUCUGCCAAAAUAAAUGUGAAUUUCAUUAGUCAGCAAACAGGAAUUUUCUUUCAUUUAAAAAAACAAAUCAACAAAUUGACUCACAACAUCAAAACUACAUUGUCUUUAUGCGAGUAAGGAGAAUAUACCUGUUGCCCUGCAUCAGUUACAUCAUGCGGUGGCAUCUCUUCUGUUCCGAUCUCCAAAACAAAGGCUCUAGGAUCUUCUGUCACCUGCCACAGAGUUUAACUAAGAGGCAAUAUUCGAACAAAACACCACUCGGAAACCAAAAAAACUGAGCAACAGAAAGAUUCAGAAAAUAUUUAAAGGAUUGCCCAUGCAAGGCACAAAAAAGUGGCGUAUUCUGACGAUUUUCCGCAGUAAAACACAACAGCAUAGUGCUACUAGAGCCAAGAAGAGAAUGAGAUCGAAAGAUAUGGAGGAGAUCCUCCAAUUUUUUCAUUCUAAACAUAUGCAUAUCGAUUCAGCUAUCCCAAAUUUGGACAUUCAGGUGUACGUCCGUAAAAUCCUGUCUUCAUAUCUGCUGAAAUACUGUGCUUGUGGCAGAUGGAGAAUAUAUCACGUGCUUCAUUUCUGGAAAAGUCUUAGUGCGUCUAGAACAUUCUCUGUGGUUCUGUUAUAAAUAACAGAUCCCUUGUCGUGGAAACAAUUCAGAAAACUGAUUUCCUUCCCUUGUGGUCAAUUGAAAUUCUAUUUUUCUCCCUACCACAUGUUCUUCAAGACAGGAUCUUGGAGGAAUUGCAACAGCAUCGUCUUUUGCACAUGUUUGUUUGUGGGGACUUCUACAAUUUCCAUGAGAGCAAGCAGAUAAUAAUGAAUCAUCAAAAAUUGUAUUGAUCUGAGUUUCAUGAUCUAAGAUUCUUCAUAUCUUGUCUGGAUUACCAGAGAUCAAAACCCAUAAUGAUUAAUUCAGUGAUGAACUAAUAACGACCCUUUAAAACCAACAUCACUGACUUGUAGAGAAAUUGAAGGAGCCUGUUCAAACCUGAGAUAAUUGGCAUCCAAAUAUUAAUGAUUGAACAAACUUAACAAAGGACAGAUAGAAAGGGGAAAAGAAUAAGUCAAUAAAAGCUCAUGGAUACUGAAUAAAACUUAAUUGAUGAAAAUUCACCUUUCCUAAUUCGGUCUCGAUAAUAUUUUUAUGAAACAAAAGCUCAGCAGCUCCAGAAGCAAUGCCCAAGGGAUGACCAAGUGACUCCCUUGUUUUGACCCAAAGCUGAGCACAUUGACGAGCUAAACUGCGUGAUGAAAUUAUUUAUUGCUCAGUAUAUACAUUAACCAUCGUCUUUUCCAAUGAAAAACCCGAUUGAGAAAAAAUAUAGAUAUAAUAUCUGCCUAAAUUGGGACCACCACAAAAAUGAAUGAAAAUGAAUAAAGUUAGCAUAGGCAUAAAUACCAUUUCAAAUCUGCACAUUCAAAAUUAUAAAAGGUAAUGAGAUUGUUAACAACCCUUUCUAAAAUUCAUAACCAAAACUUGACAGCGAAUUAAACUCUUGAGCAAGAAUACACACAUGUAUGACCCACAAGGUUACAAUCUCAAAAUCCAUUAUAAUACUCCCACUUUGCCUGGAUUAGGUUUUCACCAAUUCUAAAGUACAGCAAGAACAUAAAAGUUCAACAGCUGGUUCUAGGAUUCAAGAAAGGGGGGAGGGGGUGACCAAAGAUGAGACAAAUUCUUCAGUACAUGAGAUUCAACCACAAAACGUUAUUUCAUUAUUCAGGUACUCGGGGAUGUUACACCUACAACUUGACUUCGUAACGCAAUGUCAUCUAUCAGCUGUACUAGGUAUCAGUUGUAAGGAAAAUAUUUUUCAGUAAUACACAAGGCAACUUGGCAAACUGAAAAUACAAAAACAGAAGUUUUGUAUAAAACAAAUGGUACAUGGACAUCAAGCCCUAUCACCCAACGUACGGCUAGAAUACUUCCUACCUACUGAGAGGCUUCAUCAAAAAACUUUCACAAGAAAUGUAGUCCCCAGAGAGCAUGGGGUUACAUGUAUUCAAACUUCAAUGCGUUUCUCAAACUCAGUUCAAUGUUUCGGGGUUAUAUGCAAAAACAGAGUUUAGUGCAGCACUCAAACACAGUUCAAUAAUUUAAGAAAAUAAGUCGAUCUAUGAUGAAUAACAGUUAGUCUACAAAGGUUCUAUCUUAACAGAAAUGGUCAAUUUCAAAGAUAUUGAUGACAACAUUAUGGAGUCCCCAGUCCAUGUGAACAAUCUUCAUCCUUGGGCAACAUAGUUUAGAGGAUCAGUAACUCUAUUAAAAUCAUCAAUAGGCUGAUUGUUUCAAAUAAUGGGAUAGAUCAACAAGACCCAUCCACAGCAGUCUGGCAGACCACAGCAAUGAGGCUCCUCAUCUACAAUAAAAUGAAUGGCAAAUUCUAUACUAAUGACUGAGGAAGUCCAUCUCCAAAAUGAUCGAAUUCUACUAAUCAGAUUCAUCUAAUCCAGGUGUAAAUAGAGAUCACGCAAAAGCAAGUCAACGAAGCCUAUAGGAAAGAUAAUGAAUCGGGAGAGGAAAAAAGAAAGUGAUACAAUGCAUAAGUGGGCAAAAUAAGAAAGUUGAACGUGCAAAAAGAAAUAGAAACAAUGAGAAUCUACAGAUCUGACCAGAGAGAUAAUAUGAUGGAUUGGCAGUCUGUGUGGUAAUUUGAGUGUUGAUUUUGUUUAGCAGAUGAGAACAAAACAGUUUCAAUGUCUUGAUGCUGCCACCACAUAAUGCAAAUUGUCAUAAACUAGGACACUUCCAAUUACCAUUGUGGUAGUAACCAACACUGGUGAUAACCACUAUAUCAUUUGUCCAAUAGCUGCAAUAAAUAGAUCAUUUGCAAGGUACUCUAGAAAACUGGUAAGGAAGAUGAGUCAAUGAACAUUGUGGAAAAAAACGUAUAAUUAAGGGUUAGGUUGUUGGCCACGUUCUAAUUUCAUCGUUUUAGUGGUUUGGUUGAGUAUCCUAUAAAUAGUAGGACUCAAUCUAGGUUGUUUUCCAUUUUUUGAGGCCGGGUAAUUGUAUGUUAUUCUAUGUAUUGAUAUGACAGAAAAUUUUCCCCACCGUCUGUUGUUUGGUUUGCGUCAAAUAUCAUACAUGAGGUAUUUAGCCUAACGUUUUAUAGUGAAUGAGGCACUGAUGAAUGAGGGUUCUAUCACAAAUGCAAUCAAUCGUCAAACUGAGAAGAAAAUUGAGCGAAGUUCUGUCUGAUUCUUUUCCUCUGGCAUCUCCCAAUAGAGAAAUUCCCUAUUCAAUAAACCAUAAACACUAGGUGGUACUUCAAAGAAUAUCCUCGAUAAAAUUAAGCAGUAGAUGUUCUUUGCAUGACAUGCAAUUUAUCUGAGUGUAAUAAUUGGCAUCAUAAGAAAAAAAAAUAAUAAUAACGGCUUUCUAUCAGGAGCGCCAACUGUACAUUAGCAUUUUAAUCUGUGAGAUGAUUAAAUUGUUUCUACACCUUAUAAUACAGGUAGAGAACAUUAAGAAACAAAAUUGUAUUAUCUAUGCUCUGAUUGAACGAGAUACAAAUGGUGUUACAAUGCUCAAUACACAAUCAGUUGGCCCGGCUAUGACCGAAACAAAUACCUGCGCAUGCGAGCAAAAUAUCUUGCACGUUCUGUAACACCAACAAAGCCUCUAGAAUCUAAAAUAUUGAAUGCAUGAGAGGUCUUCAGAAGUUGAUCGUAACUGCAAGUUGGAAAAAUUUACACUGUAAGAAAAUAUCCAAGUACAGUCCUCACUAAAACGUGCUAUAUGGUAAAACUAAAUCUUAUACAUACGCAGGGAUUGCAAGACCUAGUGUAAGUAGCGAACAAGCUUCUUUCUCAAAAUUGUCAAAUAGCUUCUGUAUAUGCUCAACACUAGCAUGUUCCAAAUAAUAUGCACUCAUUUCCUUCCUGCAGCAAGUAUCAAUGGUCAAGUUAUGCUACAUACUAAUUUAAGCAAACUAACCAUCUUAAAAAAUGGUAUAAUGAUGUCAUAACUGUAAAUGUAUAAGAAUCAAAGGUAUUCCAGAGACAAGUGGAGCAAGAACCAAUUGAACAUAGAGUCACAACGAAAUUGUAGAAUUCUCACAAAUUAAGUAAUUACCUUCAUCUUUUUUCUUUGCAAAUUAAUAAAUAUUUAGAGGAAAGUUUUCGAAGAUUUUAGACGAAAAGCUCCAUUUCAAGACUAAAGGUACAUCAGUAAAGCAUCAAUCCGAAGAUGACCAUAUCAAUUUAUGUCGCAGGACACACAAUCAGGAAAUCAUAAAAAGGAAAAGGAAACUCAUCUUAAAAAUCAGAAAUGCGCGUCCCCACAACAAUAGCUUUUGGUACAACCAUUGCAGCCCAAAAUAAUUUAAUAAGUGUAGUCAACUUUCAGAAUGCAUCAUUAUUCCAGGGAGGCCAAAGAUAAGUGUGGCAUAAUCCUCAAGAAAUAGGGAUUUUUGCUCAGGCUUUGAAUGAGCUACUUUAGUUAUGUGCUAUCUGAAAAGAGACCACGAGACCCAUAUUAUUUGCGUUCAUUUUCACUAACUAUAGGAAUAAGAUACCACAUGCAUUCAUGUCAAUCCCCAUACAUUAUGGACUUGAGAGACAAUCUGAAUAUUAAACCAAUUCAUUACCCAAACACCAACCAAAUUCGGGUCAAGUGUUUGGCAGAAGUCACAACACCACAACCCUCUAUGCACUAAUGUUGGCCUAUCGCCCUUAAAAAUUAUGAACGACUACAUGCAUACAACAUUAAAAUGCAAGAGAAAACCUAUGAGGCAAAAAUCAGCAUAUCCUGAUGAACAGCUUAAAGUAAAUAAAAAAAAGCUGUAAUCAUAACGAACAAAAAAUAUCAAUAAUAAAGGGAAUUUUAGCACUUUUAAAAAAAAUCAGAUUAUUCCAUUAGAAGAUUGGACAGGAUGGUGAAAGAAGAAUAGCAGAGUUCAAAUAAAAGAUGACAUAAAUAUAAAAACAGAAAUCAUUCAUAGAAAGAGACAAUAAAUAUGAAAAAUGAGACAUAAAAGUGUUCUCAUAUCCUUCCGAAGGUGUUUUGACAAGAAGAGCAUUGCAUGACCAUCCUCUUAUUUCUGGUCAAAUAGCCAUUAAAGGAUCGAACUAUUCAAAUGAAUGAUUGAAGAAGGAAAUUCACUCUGUCCAACGUUCAUUCUUCGACAGUGAUGCAUGGAGUGGAGCAUCAGAAAUCAGAGCCCAAUAUCUGCUAAUUCUUUGAUUUUGUGGACCGCACUUGAUAAAGCUCCUAUUUCAUACUACUGAUAUGCCCUACCAUACAGCCAUGGUAACAGGAUUAUUCACCUGUAAACAAUUCAUUCCUAUACUCAAAUUGAAUUUUAACUUCAUCAAAAAACAUCAUGAAGUAAUGCAUGAAAGAAUGGCACACCAUAAAGGCCCUAUAUUGAGAAGACGAAAGCCCUGAUGCAUGGCACUUCUGUCGAAUGCCUUCACAUUCAUAAGGAGGACAUGUAAAUGCCAUCUAUUCUAGCUACCAGAGGAAGAUAUUCCAUAGGGAAUAAAACAAAAAAACUUUUAAUGAACUUUUAGAGUCUAACAGACUAUAAUAUCAAGAACAGAUUUAGCAGCAUCAAAAGCAAAGCCAAACCGGACAGAAAUGGCAAGAGUUAUACUACUAAAAGAAGAAAUGCCACGGCAAGCAUACUCGUUCUCAAGAAAAAGUUCCCCAUAUGUGAUUCCUUCAGUGUACAUGAUUUUCUUGAAAUGAUCAACACCCUGAGAAUAAUCUUUGAAUCAGAAAAAUCAUACCACCAGAUUAAGAAAGCAUAAAAUAAAAUAUCAAACAGCUUUUCUUUUACCUGAAGCAGCAUAAGAAUCCGUUCCAGACCAUAAGUAAUUUCCACAGAUACAGGGGACAGUUGAAGACUUCCAGACUGAAAAAAUUUAAAGAGUACAAUCGGGAUAAGUACGCAAAAUAAUUUAGAUAAAAAAUGAAGCAUAAUUGAAGGAGAAGUUAAUUCAAACUUAGAAUUAAAAAAACUACGGAGAGAAGGUAAACAAAAGAAAGAGACAAAAUUUUCUAACUUAUCACUAGUGCUAGAACAAGAUUAUACAAAAUAUUGUUCACCUCAUUUAUGUAAAAGAUACACUGGUAUGAAAAGCAGAUUCUGAAACAUUGUCUACUUGUCGUAUUUUUGAAAAAAUAAAGCGGAAAAAAUCUCUCAAAUGAGGAAAAGAAUAGAUUAUAACAGUUGCAUUUCUUGAUUUGGAGGUAUACAACUAAGAUAUGCUGAGACAAACGCAAAUAUUAGGUUGAUCUUCUAAUAAAACAGAAAACAACAUCAUAAAGUCAUUAUGACAUAUGCUUCUGAGAUCAUAUACAAGAAUACAACAUUACCUGUUGGAAGUAAGUGAACUGAGUUAUCUCCAUCCCAUCCAUCCAAACUUCCCAGCCCAGUCCCCAGGCACCCAGUACCUGUAAAGCAUUUACCGAAAAGAUUGUUAUGGCAAAGACAAAUAAGACUCUCUAAAAACGUAGCUCAGAUUGGGUCUUUAUAACAGAUUAUUGUAUCGACAAAAAUAGAUCCUUACAGGACUUUCCCAAUUGUCCUCAACAAAUCGAAUGUCGUGGUCAUUAAUAUUAAUACCUAAUACAAAGAUAAAAAAGGUGUGAAAUCGUAGAAACCAGACAUAACGUCCUAAAGAAAGCAACAAUAAAAAAUUGUGCAUAAAAAAGUGGCUAAAUAUUUCAUAAUUUUAACAGACAAGUUGUACAAUUCAGGAUGUGUUCAUGAAUCAUUAGCGUAAACUGAGGUUAUAUGAAGUAGACCAACAAAUCAACUGGAUUAAUCAAAAGGAUUUAUGGGAAUCUAGUGAAUGAGAAUUUGUAAAUCGUUUUAAAGUUAAUGAAGAACCUUGUGAAUUCCUCAAAAUAAAUAUAAAAAAUAGACAAAAAACUUGAACGAUCUGAAGACUUGUGGUAUAAGUGAGGUUUCAAAUACCAGAAUAAGCAUAGAAAAACGUUUCAAGAGGAAGGCGAAAAAGUGUAGCCGUUCCAGCUUUUAAAAAUAAGGUCAGCAUGAAAAACUGAGAAAAUAAAGUAGAGAUUAAGGCAAUGUGUCAUAAAACACAACUCUAUGAAAGAAUCAUUUUCUACCAAGAUAAAAUAUGAAGAAUUUGAUCUCAUGCCGCAUAUGUCUAGAAAAGGAAGCUAUUCCUUUAGAAGGUCAAGAAACUAAUAUACCUAGAAAAUAAAUACAGAUAGCUUUUACAAAUAAAACUAAUGUACAAAGUCCCAAGGGAAAUAAAGCAUGCGCUUAAAAUCCGCAGUUAUGCUCUCAAUAAAACGAGAAGAUUUUAUUUAAAAAUUAGAAAGUGUGAAAAUUCAAAAAAUAAGAAAGGAUCCAAAAUUAUGAGAAAAUAGAAAACCUGUAGAAAAGCACAACGACAGGAAUUCAACAUCACAACAAUUAUACACCAUGAACAAUUCAAACUGAAGAUAGAAUUUUGGAAAACAAGCAAAACAUGUACAAUGUAAGGUUAAUAGUUUCUUCUUAAAUUUUCAUUGGUGCUGCCUAAUCUCCAUACGGAAAACAAGUGACUACCAUCAUAAUAUGUUUAACAAAAAUCUAAAAUGCAGUAAAUAUUAUAGCACUAUUGAUGGCAUGUGACUUUAUUAUAAAAAUUUAAUUAACAAGGGCCAUAUGCAGUGAGGACAAACAAAGAAUAAUGAUGAUUCAUCACUAUGACUGGAUGAUCAUUUAGGGUCGACUAAAAGAAAAUUAUCGAGUAAAUUGAUGUUACUACUUCCCUAGAGAAAACCAUGUCAUUCAAAUAAUCCCCUUACCCAAAAAAUUACGCUAGACAAUCCAAAUGAAUGAGGUAAUGGGAGCUUCACCUUUCUAAUGAAAGAAUGAUGUAAAUUUUCUUCUACAUUCCUGAACCACAUCUAGAUAGCUCAGAUUAAGAAACAAGCCAUUGAUCAUUUGUCGAGCAUCUAGGAACCAUAGUCGAGUAUAACGUUACCUGUUCAGAAGAACUUAUUUAUAAGAGACCAUAAGAGAGAAUUUUUUCCCAUGAAUAUAGGUCAUAGAGGCAGAAUUCUAUCAAAACUACUAUAGCACAAGCUCUGAUAAUAAAAAUGUAAUAUUAAAAAUGACUAUAAUCAUUCAAAACUAUGCCACUGAAAGGUUUUCAAAUUAAAUAAUCCUCACCUAAUGCUGAAAGGCUAUGAAGGAAAAGGUCCUGCGAGUUUCCAGGAUCAGGCUUCAAUAUGACCUGGGAAUGUGUGUGAAAUUACAUGACUUCAGUGAGCAAGAUGGCAUAAAAGAUUGGAAAGAGCAGAAUAGCAGGAAAGCAACUUGCAAAGCUUUUCAGUUCAUUUGAACCUGAAAUUGUGUGUGACGCUGAAGUCUAUUUGGAUUGUCACCGUAACGACUGUCAUCUGGUCGUAUGCUAGGCUCCACAUACCUUAAGCAAAAAUGUUCAUAUCAUAUAGUCAUAACCAAGAACGGUUAUAUUACUGAUCAUAAGAAAAAGGUCUUCAAAGGUUAGCACCACCUAAUGCAGCAAAAACAAGUACGCCAUGAAAUUUGAAUUGUGUUCAUUGAAAGAUUAUUUUAAAAAAGGAAACAAUGCAUACUAGAUGCAGGAGACGUCCUAAGAAAAGAUAAUCUCCAAGGAAGAAAUGAAAUCUAAGAGAAAAUAUCAAUCAAGUAUCCGACGCAGUCCAGUUUAUCAAAAUCAUGUCUGGGUAAAGAUAGUCAGAAUAGCAUGAAAGGAAGUACUACAGUAUGCAGAGGUGUCAAACUUCGAACGACCUAAGGAUUACUGUUACAGCCUGACAAGACAAGGCGAAUCUAGGUUAGGUCAUUUUUGAAUUUACGAGUACAAUGAUCAGAUUUUGUUUCUUCAAAGACUGAACUUUGUCCUUAAAUGAAUUAUAAUCCUUGUACCCCAUUCUUCAACAUAGCUAAAACCUAUUUAAACAUGCUUCAAAGAUUUACUUUUCUCCCUACAGAAAGUGAUCAUAAUCAUAAUAACUUAAUCUUCAACACAGAAAAAAGGCACUUAAUCUGCAUCCAGUUCCACCAAUAACACUGCAGCUCCGAUUUGACUACAUUGAAUAAUACGAUUGUAAUAACAAGUUCAUGCCUUCAUAUUGCAACAGGUUGCCAAUCUCCCCCAUCACAAAGAAAAUUAUGUUUGUGAUCAACAAGAGAUUGACCCCCAUGAGCCCAUCAACUUAUCCCCUCAAUGCAAAUAUGCGAAUAAUUAAAAGAUCAAAUUUUAUGUAACUGACCCAAGUCUAUCACCAGAUUGUAACCGUUAUGAGAACCAAGUAUGCCAUAUGUGGAAACUCUUUGGCCCAUCUGACAUCAGUCAGAUGUCAGCAAGACAAUAACUUCCUAUUUUUUCACAUUGUCACAUGCCAAGGUAUCCUUGUGCGCAGUAUAACAAAUGAAGGAACACAGACAGAAAAUAUGCAUCUUUGCUUCCGAGGCAUACUUACGCAACAUUCCAUGGUUCUGGGCCUAAAACCCUUAAGAAUGUCAAAGGAUUCAUUGUCCCAGCUCCAACCUGGUAAAAAAGAAUAACGAAAACAAUUAGGAUGGUAGCAUCAGCCUUCCAUUGAAUGAAAGAGAAAUCAUGAAACAAACACAUUUUUUUAGUAUAGACUUUUAAAGUACUUUUUUCGAAUGUCACAUCAAAAGAGUUGUGUAAAGCAAAGAAUGGCAAGUAAUGUCUUCUGUUUACGUAUCAUGAGCGUGUAUGCAGUACAUCUUCACCAAAUAUUGAUGCAAGAAACUGUUUGAAUAUACUGGCAACGAGCUGUCAGUUACGAUUCUAACAAUUAAAGUCAAGCUUCUAAAAAUUGCAACAAAGAAAAGAAAACAUCUACAAGAAUAAGAAGACAGAACAAAAAAUUAUAGAAGGAAAUGAUGUCUUGCAGGAGAAUUACCUCUGUAUUGCUGCACUGCAUUAUGGCACAUCCUACAGAGGCCCAGUACUCCUAUAAACACAUUCCAGUUUAUCAAUAUACAAUCAAAAUAAUUAAUUUCCUUAGCAGAAAUACGACAUCAUCAGACGCAAUACGAGAUAAAUAAAAAUAAAAAUGGAAAUAAAAAAUUGUGACCCCAAGAUUCCCCCGAGUCUAUCCCCAGUCCCAAUCCAAAGCAGUUAAUCUGUGUGUCAUAACCAGGGAAAUUGAAGCAUUCCAUGAAUCCAAGGCAAGUUGUCCAAGAGAUAGGUCAUCAAUAUCAUAAGAUCAAGGCCCAAACUUACAGAUCUGACGAAGGAGAAACAGAACAAAGAAAGGAAACUCAUAAAGAUUCCACCACUUGGACCCAAAAUAUGGGCGAGUCUUACAGCAUUCUUAUAUGCAUUUAGUUGUACCAGCACAGAAAAAUAAUUAGAGGUGAUGUAUCCAACAAACAAAGAUAUCAGGCACCUAACUUUUUCUCAACAUCUAAGACAAAGGAAAAAAAGGAUAUAUAAUCAAAAGAAAAAAUUAAAAAAUUGUAAUAACAUAUUCUUACUAACAGAAACAAAUAUACAGGACUUGUCUUGACAGAUGUGAACUUCACACCAAUUUAAACAUGUUUUCGACUGUUUGAAGUUCAAUCACUUUAUUAGAAUAAGGUAGGAAUAGCCCAGAUAUGAAAAUCAAGGGUUACCUAGAUCACAUUACACCUAAAAGGUAAAAUAAUAUUUGUAGCAUUCCAAGUAUGCAUAAACUGCACUUGGACAUACAAGAAGAUAUGAGGUGAUUCAAUCCUUCAGAUGGUUCAAGUUUUUGGCAUUUACCAUCAAAGCCCAGAUUUUAAUAUCCCCUCACUGACCGAUUCCUUAGGUCAACCCAAGCCUAGAUUAUUUGUCAGCUCUGGAGUUUCUAUUUUAAUAGAACACGUCAAUGCCCUACUCAUUUAAUGAGUCAAAAAAACUCUAGCGGCACCUAGGAUGGCCUAUGUAUUUUCUUGACAUUUUUCUCGUUUAUAAACCAUCUAGGCAGUCUCUGUGUGAACUUGGUUCUCCCAGUUACCAAAGAAAACUAUCUUCCAAUAAUCAGUUAAAAUCUUCAUUGAUGCAGGCACAUAUGCUCUGGAGCACGAAAGAUUGCCUCAACGUAAUUCCAUUUAGAUUAUGUGAGAUCCUCCACACUACACCUAGCAAAGAUCAGUGUUAAAAUCACCCUAACCUUCACUAGUUAUGUGAUCACCUGUACAAUGCCAUAUGAUGGCUAAAUCAGAAAACUCUGUCUAACAUUGGUGCACGGUGGAGGAACUGCUUGAAAAGAGAAAAUAGGGCAGUGGUUGGAGGAGAGUCCGAACAAAAAACUUUAAAAAUCCAUACACAGGUUGGUUAAUCUAGUAGCCUUAAUUACCCUACGAUGUUCAAAAAAACCAAGUCACCUAUCCCCCCGUCAAGAAUUUACAAUUUUUUCAUUGAUCAGAACGCACAUUUUCACUAUUGUCCAGUUACACUGGACCUGUCAAUCCAAGAAUGAAUGCCUCUUUCGUAACCGCAAAAUAACUUCAGCUUACGAGAUCUUGGAAAACUCUCUCAUAGUGACUGGCGUUUUGCAACAUCCGUUUCAAAAUAAUGCUUUUCUUUCUCUCUUCCUUCCAUAUACUUUUUUCAAACUUCCCAACAUAUAAGGCUUACGAGUACUUUGAACUAGUAUAAUCCGUCAGUCGGCAUAAUAGAUCUCCUUCAAAGAAGUUUAUUACCAUCGAGGUCACCACACUCAGUUGCAUAAGCAUGUACAGAUUCAAUUUUAACCGUCACAAUUUAUUUGCUUGCCUGAAAUCGGAUUUUGUCAGACCAACAGAUAGGCAAUGGAAGUUGUAAAACGCUAUUUGAGAUGAUUGUACCAUUCUGAAGAAUUGUAUCGCCCAGGUCAAAACAAUGGAGAAUGGGUUACACAUCCAAUUAAGUCGCAGCACGGGUGAAUACAGAAAAUCUGCAAAAGAUAACAGAACAAUUCCACAUUGCCUACGUCUCUAACUUGUAACGAAAUUUCCGAUAAUUCUAGUACUCCAGACACGCAACCCGAGCAAGAUUAUGCAUAUCAAGUCGAGAUAAAGCCCACACAUUGAAAGCCACACCUGAAGCCGCUGAAUGGCCUGCUGGAAAGUGAGGACUGUUGACACGCCCUCGGGCUUGGAGUCCCUCGACUGAGGCUGAGACACGGCGGAGAAGCUCAUGGCCUUCACUCCUCUUCUACCCGGCAGCGGCGAGCGGUAGCGUCGACCGAAGGGCCUACAUAACCGGCUGUGAUUCUGUCUCUCCGCGACGAGGAGACCGAAAUGAGCGGCCCCACGGGACUUCACAGCGGAGAGCGCGAGCGGCAGCACCAGCAGCGCCAUGGUUCGGCAGCCAGCCGAUAACGACAGAGAGAAAGAGAAGGAGAGCGGGAAGACCAGCUCCCGCCCUGUCCCCGAGAUCAGGUUAUCUCUAUCCGCAGGGGGGACGGAGGGAACCGGGCCUCCUUCGAACUCACAACUUCAAUGCUCCGGUUCCUCUCCAGCUGCAAAUUUCAACAGAAAUGGGGUGCUUCAAACUACUUUCUAACUUACCAAGGACACAUAGAUAAAUUUCCACGGGUAACAUUUUUUUUAUUAAUUUGUUUUCUUAUAAAAUACUCUUCUUGGCAUACGAAUAUAUCAUCUGCUAUAUACGAUCAAAUAAAUGCUUCUACUUUUAUUCCGUAAAGAUUUCCACCAUUAUUUGUGCUUCAAUAUAUACACAUGUAUAAACAUGUAUUCCUCACUAAUUCGUUAUUUAUGUAUGUAUGUUUAGAGAGGAUAAUAGAUAGAGAGAUAAAGAGAGAGAGAGAGAGAGAGAGAAAACAAGUUGGCAGAGGCUUAUAAAGGCUGAUCCAAGGUUCACUUAAUAAAAAAAUUAGUUUAAAUUAUUUUAUCAUUACCAAUUUAUUUUUUAAGUCCAAAUCCCAAAAAAAAGAGAUAGACUUAGGUAGAGGGCUGAUUUGGCCUAUUCAUACUCACAACGUGUUAUAAAUGAUCAAUGGUUUUUGGUUCAAGAUCCCUACAAGAGAUGCCAAUUAUCAAUGAAUCUUUCAUUAUUUUUUGCCAAGACUCAUGGCUACCCAAAAACCACUGUCAAAAUUUCUCAAUAGUCCCCAUCAAGUUAGAAAAAUGCUUGAAUUAAUUGAUACUAACUAGACUUAACUGUCUUACUCUUCGGACCUUCACUUGCCCAUGACUAUAAGCCUCCCUUCCUCCUAAUACCUGGUCCUAGUUUUUUGGAUUCAUAAUGAAAAAUAUUAUUAGGUUUGUUCUACUACCAUUUAAUUGAUUCUAAAUAUUUUAGGCAAUAACCCCUCUCAUUUUUUAUUAUAUAGGGUUAUUCACACUUCUUAUUUAGGGGGAAGGAGUAGAGAGAGAGAGAACAAGGAGAGGAAAGGAAGAAAAACAAGUGAGGUUAAGAACUAGGUAUUUUAUUCUUCAAGGUGAAUAUGAUUGAGCCAAAAACAUGUUACACUCAUCUCCAUUGAAAGCUAGUUAAGAGCCUUACAUGGUGAGAGGGGUCUAAUAUUUGAAGGGAAAAUAGAUAUGUGAGAGUUUUAUUUAUAGUUUAUGACUUUUGGAAGUGAUGGGUUUCACUUCUUGCUAGAUAUUGCCGAAGUUGUUCCAAAGUUUGAGAACUUGUUUAACAACUUUCAACUUAUUCACCACGACAUACAUAGGGCAGCCUUUGACCGGAGUGCUACAUGCUUCACGGACACAAGAAAACCCCUCUUCCUCUUCUUUGUUGUGGGGGUUGGCUAAAUCUGAUUGUUCAUUCCUUCCCCUUCAUCGUUCCUAAUUCCUCAUAUUAGUGGCAGUUCUAAAUCCUUCAUGUUUAUCAUGAUGGUGAAAUGGAUUCGGGUACCAUUCUUAUCGCCUCUUUCAUGAUCUUUUCUAUAGAUAGAACUACUGUGAGCGGUCUAAACUUCGGCCCUUAUUUCUUUCUUCAUAUUGUAAAGGGGGGCAAAGCCCGUUUUUUGCUCCCUCUAUUGAUAGAUCAGGGGCCCUCCUGCCAGCCUGAACGAAACGAUCUUUCAGGAAGUAGGCCCAUCACCCUCGGGCCCGGUCGCCUUUCUAUGAAGGAACCCAGCCCUCCUCUUGCUUACAGUCGUAAGGGUAAGCGGUAUUUCGCAAUAGCAGCUCCGAGAAGCUGGGCUUAGGAUGCGCUUCCUGCGGUCGUUUCAGUGACUCAUAGGGCUUCCCUCAGCCCUACCCCGAACCAGCAGCCUUCGCGCCAAGCGACGACCGCCCUUGUCCCUUUCCUUUUUCCAUUCAGCCUACUUCUUUGCUUUGUUCCAAAUAGAGUAGAGUCUAAGGCGCUUGCGCGCUUGCGGUGGUUCGUAUGCCUACCUUACUUACCCACUUGACGAAAAGGGAACGAUCGUUUCGUUUUC